rnacentral:misc_RNA from 1 species
AAGUCGUAACAAGGUUUCCGUAGGUGAACCUGCGGAAGGAUCAUUAAACGUUUUCCAACGUACCAACCACGUGAACUCGUUUUCGAGUGUCUGCGGUCGGCCUUGAGGGCGUCAAAGUAUGGUGGGCAUCCGCGGGCCGCAAGGCUCGAGGCUCUGCUGUUUGACGUUCUGCAUCGUCUUCGGACGAGACAAGCCGCGCCUCAGCAACCAUUUAUUCUUUAAUUAUUUUUUAAAACGCAUUGUACCACUCGUACUAACACUUUGUGAAGUCGGCAGAGCGUGCUUGCACGCACUCCGAUGAACUUAAAGACAUUAAUUGCUGAACAACUCUUAGCAACGGAUAUCUUGGUUCUC